CUAAAAAAAGUUUCCCAAAAAAAUCAGUUCCCGCUUCUCUCCUCCUUCCCCUUCUCUGGUUCUCUUUUCCCUAAAAAUGAACAUUUUUUUUUCCAUUUUCCCUCUUCUCCCCCUUCCUCUGGUUCUCUGGUUUCUAAUACAUCCUUUGCCAGAUACAAUCCUCCAAAAUCCACACUUUUCAUCUCAGUUUCUACGGAAGACUUUCAUAUAAUGCAACCCUAGAUUUCUCUGGUUCUAUGGUUUCCUGGAUUCGUCAAAUUUGCCGCCGUAAUCCGGAGGUAAUUGAGUGAUGUCGAUGCUUUGAGGGACAAAUUACCAGAUUGUAUGUUAGGCAACCUUAAGAGGCUAGAGAUAGAUAACCUGAAGCUGAUUGACUACGAUUGUGAAAUGGAGUGGAUAGAACACACUCUAAACAAUGCUCCACUUUUGGAGGACCUUUAUGUUACUAUGGAUAUCAAUGGCCAAGGUGAUCCUGAUUAUGAACAGAAGGAAUUCAAUUUCUGUAAAACUUUCUUCAGGAGAUCCUGGAGUUGUCGGAUUGAGUUCUCCGGCCAGAUGAUCAAUGCUUCAAGUUCUAACUUGAGAAAGGCCGACUUACUUGUGAAAUGUUGCUUUGAUAUACCAUUGGCAAGCUUCAAAAUCAGUUUUAGGCCCUUGUGAGUAUGUAUGUGGGGGUAGGGAUGAAAAAUCACAGCACAUACACCGUGACAAGCCGCGACGCCGCUGCUCUUAGGAUUUCUGAGUGUGCGUUUCCGACGUCGAGUCAUUCGUAUUGUUGAGAUGGGUUGGCCAAUUGUCGAAUCUUCCGAUUUCAAGAUUAGUGGAGAAGAUGUGUUUCUCAUUAACAAAGCUGAUGUUUCACCUGUUACUUAUCAACCUAGAAUGUAAGAUGCAGGCACUCUGGUGAUUCAGAUGAUGAUAAAGGCAGUGUCUUGAUAUGUGAUAUUGUGACUGUGGCCCGGAUCAUUAAUGCGACUCUUGUGAUCCCUGAACUUGACAAGAGGUUAUUUUGGCAAGACUCAAGGUAUUCAAUAAUCCGAGGGGGCAGCCUUUCACUUUUGAGGAGAUAGAUGAAGUUCGAGAAAUGGUUGCAAACUUCAUUAACAAUGAUUGUCUUUGAUAUUUUCUUGUACUGAAUUUUAAAUUAUGGAUGCUAGCUAGUUUUUCAUAUGAUUGUAAUGUAAUCAACUUUUAUAUUUACAAUUAUAUACUAUUUAAUUUAAUUAUCUAUAUAAUUGGAUACUUUUUAUAUGA